rnacentral:rRNA from 1 species
CAGCCGCCGCGGUAAUACAGAGGGUGCGAGCGUUAAUCGGAUUUACUGGGCGUAAAGCGUGUGUAGGUUGUUGUUCAAGUCAGUUGUGAAAUCCCUGGGCUCAACCUGGGAACUGCUUCUGAGACUGAACGACUAGAGUACGGUAGAGGGUGGUGGAAUUUCCGGUGUAGCGGUGAAAUGCGUAGAUAUCGGAAGGAACAUCAAUGGCGAAGGCAGCCACCUGGGCCUGUACUGACACUGAGACACGAAAGCGUGGGGAUCAAACAGGAUUAGAGACCCCUGUAGUCCCUGUCUCUUAUAC